UACGGCCGCAUCACGCUGAAACAACGGUUCCCAUAUGAUCACGGAAGUUAAGCACCAUCAAGCCUGCUCAGUAUUUAGAUGGGUAACCGCUUGGGAAUAAUAGGUACUGUAA